rnacentral:sRNA from 1 species
AGAGGGGGCUGAGAUGUGCCCGAGAUGGC